AUUGAACGCUGGCGGCAUGCUUUACACAUGCAAGUCGAACGGUAACAGGCCGCAAGGUGCUGACGAGUGGCGAACGGGUGAGUAAUGCAUCGGAACGUGCCCAGUCGUGGGGGAUAACGCAGCGAAAGCUGCGCUAAUACCGCAUACGAUCUAUGGAUGAAAGCGGGGGACCGUAAGGCCUCGCGCGAUUGGAGCGGCCGAUGUCAGAUUAGGUAGUUGGUGAGGUAAAGGCUCACCAAGCCGACGAUCUGUAGCUGGUCUGAGAGGACGACCAGCCACACGGGGACUGAGACACGGCCCAGACUCCUACGGGAGGCAGCAGUGGGGAAUUUUGGACAAUGGGGGCAACCCUGAUCCAGCAAUGCCGCGUGCAGGAAGAAGGCCUUCGGGUUGUAAACUGCUUUUGUACGGAACGAAACGGCUCUGGUUAAUACCUGGGGCUAAUGACGGUACCGUAAGAAUAAGCACCGGCUAACUACGUGCCAGCAGCCGCAGUAAAAC
rnacentral:rRNA from 1 species